rnacentral:rRNA from 1 species
GUGACCUGCGGAGGGAUCAUUACCGAGUUUACAACUCCCAACCUUUUGUAGAACAUACCAAUUGUUGCCUCGGCGGAUCAGCCCGCUCCCGGUAAAACGGGACGGCCCGCCAGAGGACCCCUAAACUCUGUUUCUAUAUGUAACUUCUGAGUAAAACCAUAAAUAAAUCAAAACUUUCAACAACGGAUCUCUUGGUUCUGGCAUCGAUGAAGAACGCAGCAAAAUGCGAUAAGUAAUGUGAAUUGCAGAAUUCAGUGAAUCAUCGAAUCUUUGAACGCACAUUGCGCCCGCCAGUAUUCUGGCGGGCAUGCCUGUUCGAGCGUCAUUUCAACCCUCAAGCCCAGCUUGGUGUUGGGACUCGCGAGUCAAAUCGCGUUCCCCAAAUUGAUUGGCGGUCACGUCGAGCUUCCAUAGCGUAGUAGUAAAACCCUCGUUACUGGUAAUCGUCGCGGCCACGCCGUUAAACCCCAACUUCUGAAUGUUGACCUCGGAUCAGGUAGGAAUACCCGCUGAACUUAAGCAUAUCAAU